GCCAGGCUGUGCUGUGAAAAACGAAGGAAAUACAUAUGCAAAUAUUCCCGGGCGCCUUCCAAGACCCGAGGAAUUUUGAUGUUGUAACCACAAGAAGAGGUUGGCUAAUGGUGACAGUGCGGAGCCCCGGGAAGGGAAAUUCGGGGGGACGGGGAGCAGGCUGUGCCUCCGAGAUCCUGGAGAGGUCCGGGCUGGGAUGGUUUGGGGAAAACGGCCGUGGGUCCCAAAAAGUAUUGGCGGGGAAGUGGCAGGUGCUGGUGGGGGUGUGUCAUUGUCCCACCGAGGACAUUCCAGUGUCCCACCGAGGACAUUCCAUUGUCCCACCAAAUCCCACCAAGGAUAUUCCAUUGUCCCACCAAAUCCCACCAAGGACAUUCCAGUGUACCACCAAAUCCCACCAGGGACAUUCCAGUGUCCCACCAAGGACAUUCCAUUGUCCCACCAAAUCCCACCAGGAAUCCAGUGUCCCACCAAGGACACUCCAGUGUCCCACCAAAUCCCACCAGGGGCAUUCCAGUGUCCCACUAAGGACAUUCCAGUGUCCCACCAGGAACAUUCCGUUGUCUCACCAGGGACAUGUCAUUGUCCCACCAAGGACAUUCCAUUGUGCCACCAAAUCCCACCAGGGACAUUCCAGUGUCCCACCAAAUCCCACCAAGGGACAUUCCCUUGCCCACCAGGAACAUUCCAAUGUCCUACCAUGGACAUGUCUUUGUUCCACCAAAUCUCCCACCAGGGACAUUCCCUUGUCCCACCAGGAAUGUGCCAUUGUUCCCCUCUCUCAAACCCACCUGGAUGUGUCCCUGUGUCACCUGCCCUGGGUGACCCUGCCUGGGCAGAGGCCGCCUCCAGCCCCACCUAUUCUGGGAUUUUGGGAUUCCAUCCCUCCCAGGAAUGAGGGACAGCUGAGCCAAGAGUCCCCAGCCAAGGACAUCCAGAUUCCCAGCCAGCCCCGUGUCCCCAAAGCCACACUGGGGGUGACAAUGACAUUGCACCUGCUCUAAUUAAUGACGAGCCCUUCCCUUAAUGAGCACCUUUGGAAACGAUGGCAGCGCUUUGCCCGUCAGAGAGAGAUCUUGGAAUGAACAAAAUAUUCCUGUGAUCUUCUCCCUGACAGGCUGGAAGCAAAAAUAUUUAGUGAGGAGCUCUAAUAUCCUGAAUAAUUCAGGAGGCUGCAAACCCCUUGAUCAUCCCGCUGACUCCGGGAACAAAAUAAUCGGGAUUUGUGCAUCCAAAGCCGAGAUAAAAACGCCACGAGAAGAAAGAGGAGAAGAAAGAGGUUGAAAAUUAAAUGAAAAAAAGCUGAUUAAAAACGCAGCCGUGCCAGAAGGAGGCCGGGGGAGCUGCUCCUUGAAGCCACAGGUGUCCCACGAUCCCGGUUUUAUCCAUGGGAAUAGAGAGGGGAGAGCUGGAGAGGGACUGGGGACAAGGGACAGGACACAGGGAAUGGCUCCCGCUGCCAGAGGGCAGGAAUGGAUGGGAUAUUGGGAAGGAAUUCCUGGCUGGAAUGGAAUUCCCAGAGCAGCUGUGGCUGCCCCUGGAUCCCUGCGAGCGUCCAAAGCCAGGAUGGAGGGACUUGGAGCAGGUUGGGGCGGUGGGAGGUGUCCCUGCCCAUGGCAGGGGAGGGAUGGGAUGGGAUUUAAGGUCCCUUCCCACCCAAAACCAUCCCAGGAUUUUCGGUUUCCACGAUCGUGGGUGCGCACCAAGAGCGCGCCGGCAGGGGGCGCCCGAGGCGCCGAGCCGAGGGGAGCCGAACUCGGCCGAACUCAGCCGAGGGGAGCCGAACUCGGCCGAACUCAGCCGAGGGGAGCCGAACUCGGCCGAACUCAGCCGAGGGGAGCCGAACUCGGCCGAACUCAGCCGAGGGGAGCCGAACUCGGCCGAACUCAGCCGAGGGGAGCCGAACUCGGCCGAACUCAGCCGAGGGGAGCCGAACUCGGCCGAACUCAGCCGAGGGGAGCCGAACUCGGCCGAACCCAGUGAGAUGGAGGGAUGGAGGGAGGAGGAUUGAAGGAUUGGAGGAAUGGGAGGUUGGAAGGAUGGAGGUCGAAGGAAAGGACAGAGAAUGAAGGGAUGAAGAGUUGGAGGGAUGGAGGGAUCAAGAGAUGGAGAGAUGGAAGGAUGGAGGAGAGAUGGAAGAAUGGAAGUUUGAAGGAAUGGAAGAGGAAGGAUGGAAGGAUGGGAGGACAGAAGUUUGGAGGGAUGGAGAGAUGGAGGGAUGGGAAGUUGGAAGGAUGGAUGAAGGGAUUGAGAGAUGGAAGGAUGGAAGGAUGGGAGGACAGAAGUUUGGAGGGAUGGAGAGAUGGAGGGAUGGGAAGUUGGAAGGAUGGAUGAAGGGAUUGAGAGAUGGAAGGAUGGAAGGAUGGGAGGACAGAAGUUUGGAGGGAUGGAGAGAUGGAGGGAUGGAGGGAUGGGAAGUUGGAGGAUGGAUGGAUGAAGAGAUGGAAGGAUGGGAGGACAGAAGUUUGGAGGGAUGGGAUGGAUGGAUGGAUGGAUGGAUGGAUGGAUGGAUUGAGAGAUGGAAGGAUGGAGGGAUUGAAGAAUGGAGAGAUAGAGAAAGGGAUUGAGAGAUGGAAGGAUGGAAGGAUGGGAGGACAGAAGUUUGGAGGGAUAGAGGGAUGGAAGUUUGGAAGGAUGGAGGGUCGAAGGGAUGGAGGAUGAAGGGAUGAAGAGCUGGAGGGACGAGGGAUGGAGCAGUGCCAUGGCUGCACUUCCCACCUUUGGCUGAUUUAUUUCCACGCUCAAUCCAUGCAUCCCGUGGGGCAGGGAAUGCUGGUGCCCCCAUCCCCUGGAGAGCCCAGCCCAGGCUGGGCCUGCACUGCUCCAUCCCUGCAGCCCAAACUGGGAUGAGCACCAGGACCUUUGGGCACCAACCCCGGAGCCGCCUGCACGGCUUUAUUUUUAAUAUUUAACGGGAUAAAAGGCUGGAAUCGCUUUCAAGCCUUAAAUUGCCUUCCCCCUUUUUAAUCUUUAAAAACCAGGGAGAGCAGUUUUUGGAGGUUAUUUUUGGGGGAAAGUUUGUCCUAAUGAUCCCUGGUAGCCAUUAGGUCGGGAAUCAGGCACUUUCAAAGGGAUCCAUUAAAUAUUUCAUUCCUCACUCCCAUUCCUUUGGUUUUGAUCUCCAUCCCCAUUGAUUAAAGGCACUGACGGCUCCAUUUUGAUUAAAUCCUAAAUCAAAACUCCCCCCAGAAAACUGC
rnacentral:lncRNA from 1 species